rnacentral:ncRNA from 1 species
GUCUUCAGGGCGGGGUGCGAUUCCCCACCGGCAGUGAAACGGAGAAAACCAACUCCGCCAAGUCUGCGAACCCCCUUCGGGGGGCCGAAUCGGUGCGAUUCCGAUACCGACGGUAUAGUCCGGAUGAGAGAAGACG